rnacentral:rRNA from 1 species
UCUGGAGGACAGGUGGCUGCAUGGCUGUCGUCAGCUCGUGUCGUGAGAUGUUGGGUUAAGUCCCGCAACGAGCGCAACCCUUGCCUUUAGUUGCCAGCAGUUCGGCUGGGCACUCUAAAGGGACUGCCGGUGUUAAACCGGAGGAAGUGGGGAUGACGUCAAGUCCUCAUGGCCUUUAUGACCAGGGCUACACACGUACUACAAUGGCCGAUACAAAGGGCAGCGACACUGCGAGGUGAAGCCAAUCCCGUAAAAUCGGUCUCAGUCCGGAUUGGAGUCUGCAACUCGACUCCAUGAAGUUGGGAUCGCUAGUAAUCGUGGAUCAGCAUGCCACGGUGAAUACGUUCCCGGGCCUU